rnacentral:lncRNA from 1 species
UCACUUCGUUCUACAGGCCUGACCAAAAGCCAAUAGCUGCUACUGAUUCUGCAUCAUACCAGACAGCUCACAGUGAAAAGCGGGAUCUGGCUACACUUGGGAGAAGAAAGGAGCAAAGUAGAUCACAUUUCUCUGCACAAAUCUGAAUAAAUUCAGGUUUCUGUUGAUAAGUAUAUUGUAGCUGCUGUAAAGAUCAUUUAUAAUACCAUAUAAAUGAGUUCUGCGAUGAAACGAUACUGUCUUGGAAGAGGAGUUGUGAGUGCAUUUUUUUCACAGGUCCAGUUCCAAUGUUCAUGAUGCUCCAGUGUGUCUGGGAGACAGAGAUGAGAGACUACAAACAGGAGACAUUUUAAGAAGCUUCCUGGAGCUUUUGGUGAUUCUGUUCUGUUCUCCUCUUCAAAAUGUUGCUUUAUGUGGAUCUCAGUACCCAUCAGACACCCAAAAACAUGUGCUGGAAGAAACAUGUCAAGGACUGACAGCAACUCAAUGGCAAACUGAUGGAAGUUUCCCCAAAUGGUCAAGUGGAUGUGUACUGAAUGAGAUGUGGAAAGUGUACUGACAUCAGAGUAUUUCCUAGAACUCUACUAUUCAUAUAGUGUAGAAAAUUAUUUGUCUGUCUUUCAGAAAAUGUCUUCCUUACAAAAGAUAAAAAAAAGUUUCCUUUUAAAUAUGCAGUGAAUUCUUUAGGUUGUAUAUAAAGUGAAAAGGCUCUCCUUUUUUAUUAUACAGUGAACCUAGCAGAUGUAUUGCACUCUGGCUUUUGUUUGUUUGGGUUUUUUUCCCCCCAUUUGCACUGUGAUUUUAAAGCAAUAAGCCUUUCCAGCUUUUCUGUU